ACUGUUGGGGGCUUACAACACCCUGACUGAAGAGGGGAUAUAUGGGACAUGAAGAACUGAUCAGCAGUGAGAUAAUUCUGACUCAGCUUAGAACAAACAUCACUCUCUGCCAGACAAUUCCUAAUCUUGACCCAAUUCUUAGAAUUCACCACAUGAUUUCUGAGCCAAGAAGAGAAUCCUUCAAGCCUAUACUCUUUAUAACCCCUUCCAGGGACAUCAUACCCACCAUCUGCGCGCGUGACAACAAAAGCGAAAACCAGAAGGAUCAAGAGAAGUCCGAUGAGAAUGGCCAUGCAGCAGAGGUAAAAUGCGAGGAGUGUUUCCUUAUACCAGUAAGCACCAACAAAGCCUGCAAGGGAGACAAGGAGAACGAGGAUUCCAAGCAGGACGACAGGCCAACGGAAGUAGUGGAUGCACUCGUUGUCGGGUUUGGAGGCAAGCCAGAUACCAGAGGCAAUUAUGGGAAUUGAGCAGAGGAAGGCUACAAAGUUUAGAACUGCUGUGAUGUUAUUGGCUACUCCCAUGGUGGAUGAAGAGAGAAAUCGAGUAGAGUAACUGAGUCUUGAGCUCUAGGACUCGGACCACAACAAGAAGAAGUGUUUCAACUUGGGUGAAAGAAAGAUAGGAACCAAGAAAGGCAUGUGGCAUGCGUUGAGAGUUGUGGCUGAGGAUUUGUUUGGAGAGUUUCUUGACUAUAUUAUUACCUUCUU
rnacentral:misc_RNA from 1 species